CGGCAGCGGGGGUAGCUUGCUACCUGCCGGCGAGUGGCGAACGGGUGAGUAAUACAUCGGAACGUGCCCUGUAGUGGGGGAUAACUAGUCGAAAGACUAGCUAAUACCGCAUACGACCUGAGGGUGAAAGUGGGGGACCGCAAGGCCUCAUGCUAUAGGAGCGGCCGAUGUCUGAUUAGCUAGUUGGUGGGGUAAAGGCCCACCAAGGCGACGAUCAGUAGCUGGUCUGAGAGGACGAUCAGCCACACUGGGACUGAGACACGGCCCAGACUCCUACGGGAGGCAGCAGUGGGGAAUUUUGGACAAUGGGGGCAACCCUGAUCCAGCAAUGCCGCGUGUGUGAAGAAGGCCUUCGGGUUGUAAAGCACUUUUGUCCGGAAAGAAAUCGCACUGGUUAAUACCUGGUGUGGAUGACGGUACCGGAAGAAUAAGGACCGGCUAACUACGUGCCAGCAGCCGCGGUAAUACGUAGGGUCCAAGCGUUAAUCGGAAUUACUGGGCGUAAAGCGUGCGCAGGCGGUUGUGCAAGACCGAUGUGAAAUCCCCGGGCUUAACCUGGGAAUUGCAUUGGUGACUGCACGGCUAGAGUGUGUCAGAGGG
rnacentral:rRNA from 1 species